GAAAGACGGGGUACUGGUUGAAGAUAAAUGAGGAGAAGAGAUUGUAUUAUUGUAGUCAGCUCCAACUCCAUCAGAAUCGUUGAGGAGAAAAUGGAUGUGAAAAGAUCUACCGAAGAGAUUGCGAGACCAAGUGAGAGCAAAGAGGCCGAGGUGGGUUUGGUAAAGGGAGGUGGCGAGGUUGGGAUUAGCAGCAAGCGGUGGCUGCGGCAGCGGUGGCGGUAGAGGACGAGCGGAGGCGGCGGCAGCUACCUCUAAAGGGCGGCGGAAACAAGAAGGGAAAGGUGAAUAAUAAUGGUGGUGUUUUUUGGACUUAGCAACAAUUUCCAUGAUUGAAAGAAAUAAUAAGAAAAAAAAAAGGAAAAAGCUGAUAUAUUGAGGUAUAAGAGAUUGAAAGAAGAGAGAAAGGAGAUGAGGGAUAUAUAUGAGAAAGAGGUAAUACCAAUGGCAGAAGGGGUGGGGUGCGGGGGGGGGGGGGGGGGGGCAGAAUACAGAUAUAUGUUGAAAAUAGAAAAUGAAGUGUAUACUUUUGGGGGUUUAGGGAAGUCGUAGUCUAUAAGGAGCAGCUGGGGUUUUGGGGGGGUUGG
rnacentral:lncRNA from 1 species